rnacentral:rRNA from 1 species
UACGUAGGGGGCAAGCGUUGUCCGGAUUCAUUGGGCGUAAAGAGCUCGUAGGCGGCUUGGCAAGUCGGGUGUGAAAACUCCAGGCUCAACCUGGAGACGCCACCCGAUACUGCCAUGGCUUGAGUCCGGUAGGGGACCACGGAAUUCCUGGUGUAGCGGUGAAAUGCGCAGAUAUCAGGAGGAACACCUGUGGCGAAAGCGGCUCACUGGACCAUAACUGACGCUGAUGCACGAAAGCUAGGGGAGCAAACAGG